rnacentral:rRNA from 1 species
GCCGGGGCGGCUGCUACACAUGCAGUCGAGCGAUUCACUUCGGUGAAGAGCGGCGGACGGGUGAGUAACGCGUGGGUAACCUGCCCUGUACACACGGAUAACAUACCGAAAGGUAUGCUAAUACGGGAUAAUAUGCUUUAGUCGCAUGGCUGAAGUAUCAAAGCUCCGGCGGUACAGGAUGGACCCGCGUCUGAUUAGCUAGUUGGUAAGGUAAUGGCUUACCAAGGCGACGAUCAGUAGCCGACCUGAGAGGGUGAUCGGCCACAUUGGAACUGAGACACGGUCCAAACUCCUACGUGAGGCAGCAGUGGGGAAUAUUGCACAAUGGACGAAAGCCUGAUGCAGCAACGCCGCGUGAGCGAUGAAGGCCUUCGGGUCGUAAAGCUCUGUCCUCAAGGAAGAUAAUGACGGUACUUGAGGAGGAAGCCCUGGCUAACUACGUGCCAGCAGCCGCGGUAAUACGUAGGGGGCUAGCGUUAUCCGGAAUUACUGGGCGUAAAGGGUGCGUAGGUGGUUUCUUAAGUCAGAGGUGAAAGGCUACGGCUCAACCGUAGUAAGCCUUUGAAACUGAGAAACUUGAGUGCAGGAGAGGAGAGUAGAAUUCCUAGUGUAGCGGUGAAAUGCGUAGAUAUUAGGAGGAAUACCAGUUGCGAAGGCGGCUCUCUGGACUGUAACUGACACUGAGGCACGAAAGCGUGGGGAGCAAACAGGAUUAGAUACCCUGGUAGUCCACGCCGUAAACGAUGAGUACUAGCUGUCGGAGGUUACCCCCUUCGGUGGCGCAGCUAACGCAUUAAGUACUCCGCCUGGGGGAGUACGCACGGCAAUUGUGAAAACUCAAAGGGAAUUGACGGGGGACCCGCACAAGCGGUGGAAGCAUGUGGGUUUAAUUUCGACGCCAACGCCGAGAAAACCUUUACCCAGCGUUUUGACAUCCCUAAGGAAGUUUUCCAGAAAAUGGAAUUCGUGCCCGGCUUGCCCGGAACUUAGUGGACAGGGUGGUUGCAUGGGCUGUCCGUCCGCCUCGUGUUCGUGAGAAUGUUUGGGGUUAAGUCCCGGCAACGAAACGCAACCCCCUAUUGGGAAGUGUGCUUCCCAUUUAAGUUGAAGGCCAUCAGGCGGAAAUGGCGC